rnacentral:tRNA from 1 species
GCCGAUAUAGCUCAACGGUAGAGCAAUCCCUUCGUAAGGGAAAGGUUGCCCGUUCAAAUCGGGCUAUCGGCUCCA